rnacentral:rRNA from 1 species
ACUUCUUUAUCACCGAGUGCUUGCACUCACCGGUAAAGGGUUGAGUGGCGAACGGGUGAGUAACACGUGGGCAACCUGCCCAAAAGAGGGGGAUAACACUUGGAAACAGGUGCUAAUACCGCAUAACCAUAGUUACCGCAUGGUAGCUAUGUAAAAGGUGGCUAUGCUACCGCUUUUGGAUGGGCCCGCGGCGCAUUAGCUAGUUGGUGGGGUAAAGGCUUACCAAGGCAAUGAUGCGUAGCCGAACUGAGAGGUUGAUCGGCCACAUUGGGACUGAGACACGGCCCAAACUCCUACGGGAGGCAGCAGUAGGGAAUCUUCCACAAUGGGCGAAAGCCUGAUGGAGCAACGCCGCGUGGGUGAAGAAGGUCUUCGGAUCGUAAAACCCUGUUGUUAGAGAAGAAAGUGCGUGAGAGUAACUGUUCACGUUUCGACGGUAUCUAACCAGAAAGCCACGGCUAACUACGUGCCAGCAGCCGCGGUAAUACGUAGGUGGCAAGCGUUAUCCGGAUUUAUUGGGCGUAAAGGGAACGCAGGCGGUCUUUUAAGUCUGAUGUGAAAGCCUUCGGCUUAACCGGAGUAGUGCAUUGGAAACUGGGAGACUUGAGUGCAGAAGAGGAGAGUGGAACUCCAUGUGUAGCGAUGAAAUGCGUAGAUAUAUGGAAGAACACCAGUGGCGAAAGCGGCUCUCUGGUCUGUAACUGACGCUGAGGUUCGAAAGCGUGGGUAGCAAACAGGAUUAGAUACCCUGGUAGUCCACGCCGUAAACGAU